rnacentral:tRNA from 1 species
GGGCGAGUGGCGGAAUUGGCAGACGCGCUGGAUUUAGGAUCCAGUGCCCUCCGGGGCUUGCGGGUUCGAUUCCCGCCUCGCCCACCA